GGCGGGGCCCCGGCGGCUGCUGCCGAGCGGCCGCCAUGCGAUCAGGCAGUGCGCUGACCGGCCCGGCCGGCCGGCCCCUUCUGGGUCCUCCCUUUGCAGCCCGUGCGGGGCCGUCUCGGAGACCCCGCGCCGACGGCUGCUCAAACAUCAGGCUGGCCCCCAAGAGGACCCUUACCAAGUCCCCAGCUGGGGGCCCCGCGUAGACCUGGAGUGGACACGCCCCUCCUUCCCUUCAUGAUUCGUUUGUAGCGCAGGUAACCAGCGAAGCAUCUCUGUUAUUCCUGGAGGGGCAACUGUCUCUCAUUCCACCUCCCGAGCACCACCUUGGCCCCUGGAUGAGGAAGGAGCAUUCCUUCCUGGAAGAGCCUGGCUAAGCAGUGUCUCCGGCUCUUUCUUCUCCCACCUGGGCCCCCUGGGUCAUUGGGCCAUCACCCUGCCUCUGCAUUAGCGCAGGCAAAGUCUUUCUCCCUGCCCCUUUCCACUUUUCUCCAGAUUCUUUGCAGACCGUGCCUUUGCGUGCCUUCUAUGAGUGGGUUGGGG
rnacentral:lncRNA from 1 species